CGGUCAUCCUUGGGAGGGGGCCCCGGGUGCCCCCGUGUUCAAUGGCAGGAGGAUCCCGGGGCUCUCCCUGUCCCUAAGGCCGGCGCGGGCUGCGGGAGCACUCACCAAUUUGGAACUUUCAGAGCCUACUGGGAGAGACAGACCAUUAAAGAACUGCACUGCACUACAACAGAUGUGAACAGGAAGCCUUUGAAGCACAUGAAAGAGCAUUUGCUCCAGUUAAUGUAAACAGUCGUUUAAAACAAGCAAAAACUUUUCCUUCAGGCUUCAGGGUCAUUGGCCUGGCAGAAACUGACACAGGAAAGGAGCCACUGCUCUCAGUAAGGAUGCUUUGUCCACUGAUUAUGAACCAAGCACCUCACCAAUUGUGGCCCUACAGCUGAUCUCUCUGCAUCUAUAACCCUUUAUUUUUACCGUCCUGGGUCACACAAAUAGGUUGGUGGAUGGAACAUCUCUGAUGCCGAAGAAGGAAAGAGGCUACCAUCAUCAAUUGGGAUAUCAAAAAUUAAA